rnacentral:rRNA from 1 species
AUUGAACGCUGGCGGCAUGCCUUACACAUGCAAGUCGAACGGUAACAGGUCUUCGGAUGCUGACGAGUGGCGAACGGGUGAGUAAUACAUCGGAACGUGCCCGAGAGUGGGGGAUAACGAGGCGAAAGCUUUGCUAAUACCGCAUACGAUCUCAGGAUGAAAGCAGGGGACCGCAAGGCCUUGCGCUCACGGAGCGGCCGAUGGCAGAUUAGGGAGUUGGUGGGAUAAAAGCUUACCAAGCCGACGAUCUGUAGCUGGUCUGAGAGGACGACCAGCCACACUGGGGCUGAGACACGGCCCAGACUCCUACGGGAGGCAGCAGUGGGGAAUUUUGGACAAUGGGCGCAAGCCUGAUCCAGCCAUGCCGCGUGCAGGAUGAAGGCCUUCGGGUUGUAAACUGCUUUUGUACGGAACGAAAAGACUCUAGUUAAUACCUGGGGUCCAUGACGGUACCGUAAGAAUAAGCACCGGCUAACUACGUGCCAGCAGCCGCAGUAACAC